GCCAAAUGGAACCGCCUUCAUCCUCUGCCUGUGCUGAGCCCCAUGUCAAGUUGUUAAAUGUUUUUGUUCUGUAGCUCCGUCCCACUCCUUUUUGAUGAUAUUUACAAAAGAAAGCAAGCUGCUUGGAAGGUCUGGACGUGAGGGAAAGGGCAUGAAGACAAGGCUGAUAGUGGGGAGUGCUAGAGGCUUGGUUGUUCCCCUGGAUAGGACCCCAGAGUCUCUCUAGUUAAAGGGCCCCUAGGUUCUCCCCAGCUCCCACCCUCUCCUCCAGCCAUGGUGAUGGCAGAGGCAGAAGAAAACUUUGAGCCCAGUUCUCACAGGAAAGGAAAACUCUCAUGGGCUUUGCAGAGAAGGUUCCACCUUACGCUCGUACAUUGUCUUUACCAUGUUCUAGGAUAUCACAUUCAACAGGACAAAAAAAUGUAAAAUACUUGAAUGAGCUUGUAUUAUAACAUUAAUAUUAUUGAGAGUGUCUGCUUCCCAGGCUGAAGUGAUUCAUUCAUUAUUCUGGUCCUGCUCUAGUCCUUUGUAAUUGGUGGUAAUUAUUAUGCUUUUCUUUUUAAUACAAAAAAAUGUAUAAAAAUAAAAACUUGAAAAGGC
rnacentral:lncRNA from 1 species